rnacentral:lncRNA from 1 species
AUAUAUUUGUUGUAUGGAAAGACCAAUCCAACAAAAUAUUAGAAAUGAAAAAAGCCUUCUCAAACAAUUCUCUAGGUGUAAAUCUUAAUAUAGAUCAGGUCACUUCAACAUCCAUUCACUUCCUAGAUGUUCAACUAAAUUCUGUACUACUACAAUACAGUGCCAAAGUCUAUAGGAAACCAACUUAUGUUUCUACCAUCGUCCCAACCUGGUCAGCAGACCAUCAUAGUCACAAGCAUGCAGCAUUUAGAUCAUACUUUAGAUACAUUAUAAUGCAUUGUUCCAUGGUUCCAGGCUAAAAAAUAAUUUAACAAGAUC